AUGUGUGCUUUGUUAGUUUUGCAGCUUGUUUCCUUGCUAAGUAAGCGUUUGGGGUUAUUUUGUUUUGUUGCUACCUUCUGGACGACGGGCGGGCGGGCAGCGGCAGCGCCGAGGAUGGCAGCCAUGCCGUGGCUGCUGGACGACGGCAUCGUCCGCGGCAUGGCCAUCGGCGCGGUCUUCACCGACUACUCUGGGAAGAUAAGCUGCCUCGAGUUCCAACGCAAGGAGGAUCUCCUCGUCACCGAGGACGACUCCAUUCGCCUCUACAACACCACCAGCGCAACCAUGUGGAUGGGAAGUGUCUGGGAUCUACUGCAUUUUGAUUGCUGGCCUAUAGAUAUGAGUGACAGUGUUGGGUUCUGUUGUUUGGGGAUGCUGGUAGGAGUACAACAACAUUAG
rnacentral:rRNA from 1 species